CCUACGGGUGGCAGCAGUAGGGAAUAUUGCUCAAUGGGGGAAACCCUGAAGCAGCAACGCCGCGUGGAGGAUGAAGGUUUUAGGAUUGUAAACUCCUUUUGUUAGAGAAGAUUAUGAGGGUAUGUAACUUAUAAGGACCGGCUAACACCGUGCCAGCAGCCGCGGUAAUACGGAGGGUGCAAGCGUUACUCGGAAUCACUGGGCGUAAAGAGUGCGUAGGCGGAUUAAUAAGUCAGAUGUGAAAUCCCUUAGCUUAACUACAGAACUGCAUUUGAAACUGUUACUCUGGAGUGUAGGAGAGGUAGGUGGAAUUCUUGGUGUAGGGGUAAAAUCCGUAGAGAUCAAGAAGAAUACUCAUUGCGAAGGCGACCUGCU
rnacentral:rRNA from 1 species